AGCUAAUUGUGGUUUGUAGUUAGUGGUUUCUGCUCAAUGAUUUGUUAAAUAGCCGCAGUACCCUGACUGUGCAAAGGUAGCAUAAUCAAUUGGCUCAUAAUUGGAGUCUAGAAUGAAGGAAAGAAUAAGAAAUAACUGUUUCUAAGUAAUUAUUAGAAAUUAAUUAUAAAGUGCAAAUGCUUUAGAAUAAAAAUUAGACGAGAAGACCCUAGAAAUUUUUUGUUGAUUUUGUGGACAUUUUGUUGGGGCGACAGAGUAACAGGUUUAUUAACUUACUUAUUUUAUUUGGAGUAUUUAUACAGAAAAAAAAAAUUACUCUAGGGAUAACAGCAUAAUUUUAAUAAGUUUGUGACCUCGAUGUUGGAUUAGGAAAAGUAUAAAGUUUAGAAGAUAUAUAUUUAAGCUCUGUUCG
rnacentral:rRNA from 1 species